UGCGGAUCCCAGCGGCCGUCCUGUAGCUGAGCAGGCCUGGGGCUUGGUUCUAUGUCCCUGUGGUGUCCUCUGGGUGUUUCCAAGAGCAACAAGAAACGAAUAAAUCUCUGACCCUUCUCAGGUGCAGCCAGAGAGACACUAGCCCACUGAUGGACGGACAGACGUGGGCAGGGUACGUGUCACUAAACCUCCCACCACUGCCACAGCUGCCUACAACAGACACAUCAGAUGACACUCCGGGCAAAUAAAUGAUUUUCACUGAGGACUUACUGGUUUUAAUAAUAGGUCCUGGUGUAGAGAAGUCCCUCAACCUAUUGUGCAAUGAGUUUUGAGAAGCGGCCCCGCAGCGCCUCCACCCCAGAGACCCGGACCAAGUUCACACAGGACAAUCUGUGCCGCGCCCAGCGCGAGCGCCUGGACUC
rnacentral:lncRNA from 1 species